rnacentral:misc_RNA from 1 species
AGAAUGGGUUAUAAUAUAAACUAAUAGAUCAUCUUCUUCCUAACUCUCAUAAGUGAAGGAUAAGGAAAAGAAAUGAGUAUUUUCAUGGAAUGUGACAUUCUCAAGGACAAGAUAGCGAUUAAGAGUACGAAAAUAACACCUAUACCUUUUCUGAAGCCAAGAGUAUCCAAGAAAAAAAAAACUUAAAAGAGACUUUGAAUCUAAUUCGAUGACCUUUAGACGAAUAUGACAUACAAAGCAAGUACUACCAAAUAGGAUUUAGAAUUGA